rnacentral:lncRNA from 1 species
ACCUUUUUCAUCAUGGCAAGCCUCUCCUUGUUGACAAGAUGGUAAGUGGUUUUGUCCAACACAGGGUGAAGACUUAUCUGUUUUUUUUUUUGUUCAGACAAAUACAAGUUCAGUUUCUAUAUUUAAGAGAGAUACACUAACCAAUAAAGUUUAAUUACCAGAUCAGCCUCUCGUAGCACCUCCUCCAUGGAAGAAGCUCGUUUCCAUGUCACAGGUUGUUCCCCGUUUGCUUUCAAGAAUUGUCCAUAAGCUGCCAUUAACCAUUACCUCAAAAAUAUAUAAACUCCAACGAAAGAGUAGACUGUAAAGAGAAACUGUAAAUAUAUAUACCUGUCACAAACUUCUCAAGACGAGUGGAUUGGUACAGAUCAAAGUAGAUCAAAUUCAUCUUGAACCCUUCAACCUGUUCUUGAAAUCAAAAUGUCAAAAAAGGAAGCUUACAAAAUAUCAUAUCAAGAGGCUUUGCUUUACCAUCAUUCUAGCAUAAGCAGAACCAAUACGUCCAGCUCCAAUCACUCCCACAGUCUGUCCUUUAAGUAAGUUCCCCACAAACCUGCCAGAACCAAACAAUCGUGUUAGCACCUCUAAACCGGUUUCUUGAUUUUAAACCGGUUUCUUGAUUUUCUUGAUUUUUUCUUACAGAUGAGGAAGCCACCCUUCGUACAAGCCAGCUCUCAUGAAACCGUCAGCUUCAACAAUCCUUCUUGCCGCAGCAAGGGAAAGCGAAGCGGCUAGCUCGGC